UACGUAGGGACCAAGCGUUGUUCGGAUUUACUGGGCGUAAAGAGCGCGCAGGCGGUCGAUCAAGUCGAGUGUGAAAGCCCCCGGCUCAACUGGGGAGGGUCAUUCGAUACUGAUCGACUCGAAGGCAGGAGAGGGUAGUGGAAUUCCCGGUGUAGUGGUGAAAUGCGUAGAUAUCGGGAGGAACACCAGUGGCGAAGGCGACUACCUGGCCUGUUCUUGACGCUGAGGCGCGAAAGCUAGGGGAGCAAACGGG
rnacentral:rRNA from 1 species